UUCUGGGGUCACUGGCAAAGUUUUAUUUCUUGACCUGGGUGUUGGUUAUGAGGGCGUUUGCCCCUGAAAUAAUCACCAAGCUACAAAUUUAAUUUGUAUGAUUUUCCACAUCUGUGAUUUGUUUCAUAACAUAAGGUUUUUAAAAGAUGAAAACAGAACUACCUACCUCACUGUGUGUGUGUGUGUGUGUGUGUGUGUGUCCGUAUACACAUGUUUGAAUAUAUGGAUAUGGCCUGGUACAUAGUAGGUACUCAAUGAAUAUGAGUUCUCUUCCCUGUUAAUCCUGUCAAACAGCCUUACUGGUGUGAUUUCAGCACCAUUAUCAACAUGUCUGACUCAUCAAAAGUAGUUAAUGCUUAUUAAGUGAUUAUUACAUUCCAGGCACUGUUCCCAGUACAUCUCAUCUAACUGCAUCCUCGUAACCCUAUCAUUUUUAUUCCCAUUUUACAGAGAAGAAAUGGAGACUCAGAGAAGUCACCUGUGGUCAUGCAGAAGGUGGUGCAGCAGCCUCGUUUUGAACCCAGGAACUCUGCCUCCAUAGUCCAUGCUCCCCCCCCCCCCCCCCGCCUCCGCCACCACCAACCCCGCAUAUAUAACGUACUGGUCCAGCGUCCCUGUUUGCCCGAAUAACUUCCCCCAUCAAGUGCCUGCCAGUGUGUGCCACCCCCUGACACUCAUUACCUGAAUCUCACAACAACCCUGGCAGACAAAGAUGCUCAUCUGAUGGAUCUGACCCAGUCUGAGGUCAUGGGUUGCCCAACCAGCCGUCCAGAGCCUGACUUGGCUUGAGAAGUGUCCAGACCAGGGCUGGGAGAAGUCAAGGGCUUGGCAAGCACCAGACAUGCCUGACCCCAACCACGAGGUCAUGCGAAGCUUGUGACCCAUAGGCCUGGCAUGCCUCAAGGAGACAGAGACUUCUGUUACUCUGUGUGCAAGGCUUUUUGCUCACAAAUCUUGGAAUCAGGGCCCAGAAUAGGGCUGGCCACCUCUCUGAGCUUGAGAUAAAGACAUGUGUGCAGGUGGCUGUGCAGAUUUCCCACAAGAGGUCGGGUUUGUUCAACAUGCUGCUUACAGCAAGGUGGACAGUUCUCCAAAACAAGCCUGGAAGUGAAUGUUCCAGAACGCUCUGGAGUUUGGUUCAUUAGAAGUGUGUGGGUGCCUCUGGGAACCUCUGAAGCCCUUCCUUUAUGGGGCCAUCACCCCCAUCCUCCUAGAUGCUUCAGUUGUUGGUGUCUAAUGGCUUGCUUUGUCUCCUCCUGAACACUAUGACCUCAGAAGUCACCUCACCCAAGAGGUCACCCUCGUCACCCACAGAGUGGUUCACAGCCAACGGACAGACGUCCAGACGUACAACAGGCCAGCCCCCUCACAGGACUUUAUGUGAGAGCACGACUUUGCUCGGUUCCUUCCUAUCCUGAGUUCCUCCUUCUCUUACAGUUUCCCCCGUUAAUAAAUCACAUGUACUUGGGGUGUCUGAGUGGCUCAGUCAGUUAAGUGUCCGACUUAGCUCAGGUCAUGAUCUUGCUGCUUGUGAGCUGUGCCAACAGCUCAGAGCCUAGAGCCUGCUUCAGAUUCCGUGUCUCCUUCUUUCUCUGCCCCUCCCCUGCUCAUGCUCUGUCUCUCUC